rnacentral:rRNA from 1 species
ACGGAGGAUGCAAGCGUUAUCCGGAUUUAUUGGGUUUAAAGGGUACGUAGGCGGAAAAUUAAGUCAGUAGUGAAAUCCCGCAGCUUAACUGUGGAACUGUUAUUGAUACUGGUUUUCUUGAAUAUUGUUGAGGUAGGCGGAAUAAGUAAUGUAGCGGUGAAAUGCUUAGAUAUUACUUAGAACACCGAUUGCGAAGGCAGCUUACUAAGCAAUUAUUGACGCUGAGGUACGAAAGCGUGGGGAGCGAACAGG